CUCAGUUGUUAAUGGUAGUUCGGUGUAAAGUUAACUUGUCUGCCAUCUUGACAAACAAUAACAGUUUCUUUGUCAUCAUGGCUGAAGAACAAGCAAAACGGAACUUCUAAACUACAUCUACCACAUGUGCUGUGUGAAGCAUCUAUAGGAUACAUUUAGUUCUAACCUAUCCAGUUCCUUUUAUCAUUCCCACAAA